rnacentral:misc_RNA from 1 species
ACGGUAAAUAAUGGCCGUUACCGUUACUUAAUGGUCGUAACGUCCGUUACACCCACAAUUCUAGAUUUGCUUGUAAAUAAUGAUGUAUCUCUAACGGGCCCACAACACGAAAGAAAGUUCCAAAAUCUCCUCAAAUCAGCUGCUGUAGUGAAUUCAACAACUCAAAAAUAGGUCACAACAGAUCUGAAAUACCCUCAAUCUCUUAGAAAUAUUCCUAUCCAUGGCUUCAAAUAACGGCCGUUUGUUGCUGAUUGAGGAGAUCUCUUGCCUGGUUUGGUUCUAUACACCAUAUUUGUGUUUGAGAACACUUUGAACUCUCGGAUUUGUUUGGUUCUUUUGUUGCUGGCUUAGGUGUUCUUCUGGUUUUUUAUUUGUGUUUGACUUGGUUGAAGCUUUUGUCAUACAAAUUCUUGGUGUUUAGAUUACUUGACCCUGCAAAGUUUAUUGUUAUGACUAUUGAGACUAAGAUUUGGGUAUCCUAUGAGCUAUUGGAUAAAGAACCACCUACUGUUUCAUCAUUUACCUUGCCAAUAUUGCCUUUGGAGAGAAAAGUGCAACCCUAUGAGUAGCUUUGAGUUGGUGUUUCCUUUUCGGCAUCGCUUUUGGAGUUUGGCGAGGGAAGUGCAACCCUAUAAGUUGCUUUGUGUUGGUGCCUUUUUGUAAGUGUUUCUGAAUCUGGUAUGGUACUGUUACUUGGAAGCAAUUGUGCAUUCUUGCUUUGGAACUUGGAGUGUUGCAGCCCUAUGCUUUAUAGGGUGUUGGUCUUAGACUAGCUUAUAAGCUAUAAAA